rnacentral:rRNA from 1 species
UACAGAGGGUGCGAGCGUUAACCGGAAUUACUGGGCGUAAAGCGUGCGUAGACGGUUAUUUAAGUCGGGUGGGAAAGCCCCGGGCUCAACCUGGGAAUUGCAUUCGAGACUGAAUAGCUAGGGUACGGUAGAGGGAAGCGGAAUUUCCGGUGUAGCGGUGAAAUGCGUAGAUAUCGGAAGGAACAUCAGUGGCGAAAGCGGCUUCCUGGACCAGUACCGACGUUCAGGCACGAAAGCGUGGGGAGCAAACAGG